AAUUUAAAAAUAAAUUAAAUUAAAUUAAAUAUCCCAAACCCAUUUCUCCUUUUCGGUAAUUGAACAAAACCCUUCUCUUUAAUUCAAGAAUUAAAUAGCAAUUCUCACCCUUUUUGCCUUUUUUCUUUUCAAACAAAAACCUUUUCCCUAUUGUCCUAUAAAUUCAACUUUUUCCCUUUUUCUUCUCCAUCCAUUUCAAAAACCCCUAUAUUCUCUGCGUUUGUUUCAUCUUUCUUUGAUUGAAUCUUCAUUUUCUUGGCUUAAACUAGAAAAAAAAAAAAAAAAAAAAGGGUGAGAGAUUUAUGGCUUCAAGAACAGUGACUAAAGAUAUUAUCACCCUUCGUGGUUCAGCGGCAAUUGUCAGCGAGUUUUUUGGGUAUGCUGCAAAUAGUAUACUCUACAAUCGCGGACUUUAUCCGGAAGAAAGUUUUGUGAAGGUGAAGAAAUAUGGGCUUCCAAUGUUGCUUACUCAGGAUGAAAGUGUUAAAUCCUUCAUUGCCAACGUAACCGCUCAACUUUCUGAAUGGCUGGAAGCUGGGAAGUUACAAAGGAUUGUUCUUGUAAUAAUGAGUAAGGCCACCAAUGAGGUCCUAGAGAGGUGGAACUUCAGCAUUGAGACUGAUAGUGAGGUUGUUGAGAAGGGUGUCUCGAGGGAAAAGAGUGACAAGGAAAUCAUGAGAGAGAUACAAGCAAUCAUGCGACAGAUUGCUUCAAGCAUUACCUACUUGCCAUGCCUUGACGAAGCCUGUGUUUUUGAUGUGUUGGCCUAUACUGAUAAAGAUGUUUCAGUCCCAUUCACUUGGAUUGAGAGUGACCCCAAACUUAUUGCUAAUCCACAAAUGGUCAAAUUGCACUCCUUUGAUACCAAGAUUCACAAGGUUGAUACUCUUGUAUCUUACAAGAAUGACGAGUGGGACGAGCAGUAGAGAGCAACGAAAGGGAUGAGCGGUAGAGAGAGGCCACUCGCCAUUUGUUUGUGUGUUACCUCUUUGUGGUUCCUUCUUCGCUUGAGUGGUUAUUGUGAAUCUUCUAUUCACAGUUUGUAAGAAAUGUCCAUUUGUUGUGUGGCUAAUGAAAACAUGGAGAAAAGAAAUAUGAGGUGCGUGCUCUGUUUGUUUAAUUUGCAAUCUCCCAUGUCAGUAAAUCUGCUUUGAAUUCCAUUAUAAUAUUUUUGUGUUAAGGGAAUUUGAGCUGUGUUUGGUAUUAGAAUAAGUAGAACUGUAGAACAAGAAUGGUUCAUGAAAAGAUUGGACGUACAGAAUUUGGAGUGUAUUUUCAAUCCAUUCAAUCAGUGGUGGAGCCAUGCUAGGAUUUGGAGGGGCCAUGGCCCCCCCAAAUAUUUUUUUAUAAAGUUGACAAGUAUAGAUUCUUGUAUAUCUAAUUUUUAUGCCUUCAAUGAUUGUAUAUCUAAUUUUAAGUAGUCUUUAGUAA